rnacentral:rRNA from 1 species
UACGUAGGUGGCAAGCGUUGUCCGGAUUUACUGGGCGUAAAGCGUAUGCAGGCGGACCUUUAAGUAGGAAGUGAAAGGUGGGAGCUCAACUCUCACACUGCUCCCCUAUACUGGGGGUCUUGAGUGCCGGAGAGGACAAGGGAACGGGUCGUGUAGCGGUGAAAUGCGUUGAGAUGACUCGGGGACACCAAUGGACGAAAGCACUUGUCUGGACGGAGACUGACGCUGAGAUACGAAAGCCAAGGGAGCGAACAGG